CACAGGGGAGCUUGCUCCCUGGGUGACGAGCGGCGGACGGGUGAGUAAUGUCUGGGAAACUGCCUGAUGGAGGGGGAUAACUACUGGAAACGGUAGCUAAUACCGCAUAACGUCGCAAGACCAAAGAGGGGGACCUUCGGGCCUCUUGCCAUCAGAUGUGCCCAGAUGGGAUUAGCUAGUAGGUGGGGUAAUGGCUCACCUAGGCGACGAUCCCUAGCUGGUCUGAGAGGAUGACCAGCCACACUGGAACUGAGACACGGUCCAGACUCCUACGGGAGGCAGCAGUGGGGAAUAUUGCACAAUGGGCGCAAGCCUGAUGCAGCCAUGCCGCGUGUGUGAAGAAGGCCUUCGGGUUGUAAAGCACUUUCAGCGAGGAGGAAGGUGGUGAGCUUAAUACGCUCAUCAAUUGACGUUACUCGCAGAAGAAGCACCGGCUAACUCCGUGCCAGCAGCCGCGGUAAUACGGAGGGUGCAAGCGUUAAUCGGAAUUACUGGGCGUAAAGCGCACGCAGGCGGUUUGUUAAGUCAGAUGUGAAAUCCCCGGGCUCAACCUGGGAACUGCAUUUGAAACUGGCAAGCUAGAGUCUCGUAGAGGGGGGUAGAAUUCCAGGU
rnacentral:rRNA from 1 species